CCUUUACCGAACAUAUUUUUCAACGAAAAUGCCAUAAUAAUUAGAAUUAAUCAAACUAAAAACACAAAAAAAUACUAUUAGCACGUAAGAGUUGAAACGAGUUUACCGGAUAGACGAACAACUUCUUGAAAAUUGAAAAUCGUUGUAAUUGAACACUUGAAAACUUCAAUUCAACAACUUCACAAUGUUUCACGAAUUUGCAACAAAANNN
rnacentral:lncRNA from 1 species